ACCCCCCCUCUCCUCUCUUCUUCUUCCCAGCCGCCGCCGCCUCUCCGCACAGCGGCGGCGCCACCGGCAUUCCCAAACCACCCCAAAAUUUCAUCUUUUCUUCCUCUCAACCUCCUCUUUCCAUAUCUUCAAACAAAAUCCUUCAAAACCCCCUCAAAAUUCACGAAUUUUAGAUCUAGGAAAGCCUUAGCCGCACUUUUUUGUCAAAUCCGUGAAUAUUGAGCCACCCCUUUCACCCAACGCCUACAUAGAAGUAUAUAGCUUGACAAGGGCUAUCAUUUGGCAUUGGUCUUAACCCGAAACUCCAGCGACCCCACUGCCCGCCGCCACUGCUUAUCCUUUUCUAUUUUUUUUUUCUUUUUUCGACCCAAAGGCAUUUGUUUCCUUUUGGCAAGACGCAAGAAUCUAUUGGUUUAGCGUCUGCCAAAAAGAAAAAUGCGCCUCGGGGUCGGAUAUCCAUUAAUUGGCAUCCCCGACAUCUUCUCGUGGCUCGAACAAUGUCAAAUGCCCUCGAUUGGUAUAAACCUUAUUUCCUUUUUAUCUUCUCUGAUUUUUCGCUUUUGCAAUUAGUAUUAGUUUUAAAAGGUUUAAUUUCUAUUAACGUCGUUGUUGUUUAUGUGCAAUUGAGUAUUAGUUUUGAAUUACAUGUUACUUUAUAAAUGCGAAUUUCAGUUCUACGGCCUAGCCGGUCGAGUAGUUCGUUAUUGUCUAUUAGUUCUGAUUUUUGGUUCUUCGACCUAGCCGGUCGACUAUUUUGUGUGAAUUUGUUAAGUUUGAAUUUUUAGUUUUCCGACCUAGCCGGUCGAUAGUUAAGUGUUUUAUGCUAGUUUCAUGAAAAAUAAAAAAGAUUAGUUGAAUCGUUUA